CUCUAUAGACUAGGGGUCUCUACAGAAGGAGGUCUCUACUCUCUAUAGACUAGUGGUCUCUACAGAAGGAGGUCUCUACUCUCUAUAGACUAGGGGUCUCUACAGAAGGAGGUCUCUACUCUCUAUAGAACGGGGUCUCUACUCUCUACAGAAGGAGGUGUCUACUCUAUAGACUAGGUGUCUCUACAGAAGGAGGUCACUUCUCUACUCUCUAUAGACUAGGGGUCUCUACAGAAGGAGGUCUUUACCCUCUACACAAGGAGAGCUCUACUCUCUAUAGACUAGGGGUCUCUCCAGAAUGAGGUCUCUACUCUCUAUAGACUAGGGGUCUCUCCAGAAUGAGGUCUCUACUCUCUAUAGACUAGGGGUCUCUACAGAAGGAGGUCUUUACUCUCUACACAAGGAGAGAUCUACUCUCUAUAGACUAGGGGUCUCUCCAGAAUGAGGUCUCUACUCUCUAUAGACUAGGGCUCUCUACAGAAGGUC
rnacentral:lncRNA from 1 species